rnacentral:rRNA from 1 species
AGAAUCAACGCUGGCGGCGUGCCUAAUACAUGCAAGUCGAACGCGAAAGCCCCGCAAGGGGCCGUAGCGUGGCAAACGGGUGAGUAACGCGUGGGCGACCUACCUCAGAGUGGGGGAUAACCUUCCGAAAGGAGGGCUAAUACCGCAUGACAUCCCGUGUCUGGAUACACGGAGAUCAAAGCCGGGGAUCGCAAGACCUGGCGCUUGGAGAGGGGCCUGCGUCCGAUUAGCUAGUUGGUGGGGUAACGGCCCACCAAGGCUUCGAUCGGUAU